rnacentral:rRNA from 1 species
GUCCACGCUGUAAACGAUGUCGAUUUGGGGAUUGGGAGUUAUCCUGGUGCCCGAAGCUAACGUGAUAAAUCGACCGCCUGGGGAGUACGGCCGCAAGGUUAAAACUCAAAUGAAUUGACGGGGGCCCGCACAAGCGGUGGAGCAUGUGGUUUAAUUCGAUGCAACGCGAAGAACCUUACCUACUCUUGACAUCCAAAGAAUAAUUUAGAGAUAAAUUAGUGCCUUAGGGAACUUUGAGACAGGUGCUGCAUGGCU